GUACUCGCUUUGGCAGCCACAUAUAUUAAAAUUGGAAAGAUACAGAGAAGAUCAGCACGGCCCCUGCACAAGGGUGACAUGCAAAUUCAUGAAGCAUUCCAUAUUUUU
rnacentral:snRNA from 10 species